ACUCCUACGGGAGGCAGCAGUGGGGAAUCUUAGACAAUGGGGGAAACCCUGAUCUAGCCAUGCCGCGUGAUCGAUGAAGGCCUUAGGGUUGUAAAGAUCUUUCAGGUGGGAAGAUAAUGACUGUACCACCAGAAGAAGCCCCGGCUAACUCCGUGCCAGCAGCCGCGGUAAUAC
rnacentral:rRNA from 1 species